ACUCGUUCUCGUGGAGUUUCACAUACAUUUUUAUUGGUUACCAGAAUUUUUGAUUCUGUUUUACAUAAUAGAAGAAUAUAGAGUUUAACUUAAAGAGUAAAUUUUUACGUAAAGAACUAAGGGAUCAUUUGGUUAGAUGUAAUUAUAAAUGCAGCGUAGUUAGAUAUGCAUGCAAUUGAAAAUACAGCAAUUAUAACUACAUGAAUCAUGUUUGGUUGGAUAUAGUAGAAAGCGCUAUAAGUCUAACUAAUUUGUUUGGUUGUAUGCAGUUGAGAAAUAAUUUUUAAAAUUUUAUUAUUUUAUAUAUAUGAUGAUGAGAUUACCUUUAAUAUAAAAACGGAAAAUAAUUUUUGUUUAAAAAAUAUUGAUGAGGUAAGCAUAUCUUUUAUUUAAAGUUACUCUCUCAAACUGCUGUAGUUAAAACUGCGGCUAAUUUAGGCGUACUUCGAACUGCUGCAGUUGGGCCUCCUCCUGCAGUUUCUACUGCAGCAAUUGGAGUUAAAUAUAUCAAACCAAACACAAAAUUUGUAUUUGUAUAUAAUUACAACUGCAAUGCAGUUGCAACUACAUGUAAAUAAACGAUCCCUAACUGAGGAAAGAGAUAAAGUGCAAGGCAAGA
rnacentral:lncRNA from 1 species